UGUGCUUGGUUGGAAGAGGGCAUUGGAUCUCCUGGAAUUGAAGCAACAGAUGGUUGUGAGCCACCAUGUGGGUGUUGGGAAUUGAACCUUGGUCCCCUGCAAGAGCAAGUGUUCUUAACUGCUGGGCCGUCUCUCCAGUCCCGUUUGUGUUUGUGAUUUGGUUUUUGAGACAGGGUUUGUCUGUGUAACAGCUCUGGCUGUCCUAGGACUCACUCUGUAGACCAGACUGACCUUGAACUCACAGAGAUUCACCUGCCUCCACCUCCUGAGUGCUGGGAUUAAAGGCGUGCGCCACCACAUCUGGCUCACUUUUUUGUUUUUAAUACACGCCUUUCUUCAUUCCCAGAAGCCUGGAGAUAUACAAUAAAGAAAGCCUCAUUACUAUAAUUAGAAGAAUUAUUCUGAUAAUGACUGUAUUGGUCUUUUUGGUAACAGCAUGCUCUUAGUUGCCGAUGACAGAAUUCACUGUCCUGAGUUUUAACAGUGAGGGAUUACAGCCUCAUAGUUGGAAGAUCAUAGGAUUGCCAGCAGUGCCUGGAAAGUAGACUAACAUUCUGCACAGUCAGACAUAAUCCUGGGAGAAAGACUCUCUCUGCAACAGGCACAGUCUCACGGAAAUCCCACUGCCACUGCUCACCAGUCGGUAUCUAUGUGCUGGGGGCUGGGCACUAGGACUUCCAAAGCUCUUCUACCGUGGUGGUUUCGAAAAGGCAGCUCCACCUGCACGUGGCUGCCACUGCAUCUGAGUCACAUUCCCCUCCCCAGAUUCCGUGCUCCGCACAAGCCGGGUGACAUGUAGCAGCCUCCCACAAGUAACUUCCAGCACAGCUGGCUUCAGAAAGGGUAAAGGUGGGUACUGCGGAUCUGUCUGUGGAGUCUGCCAUGAUGACUGUGGUAGUUCCAAUGUAAUUGGCUCCCAUAAGCUCAUAGGGGAGUGGCACUAUUAGGAGGUGUGGCUUUGUUGGAGUAGGUGUGGCUUUGAUGGAGGGAGUAUGUCACCGAGGAGGUGGCCUUUGAGGUCUCCUAUAUGCUCAAGCCAUACCUAGUGUCUCAGACCACUUCCUGUUGCCUGUGGUAUCAAGAUGUAGCUCCUUCUUCAGCACACUGCCAUGAACUGCCCUGAGGACAAUGGAUUGGACUUCUGAAACUGGCAGAGCCGCGCUGACAAGAACCGGCCUGUAGCGGUACACACAGUCCAGCUGUGUUUUCAGCCUGAAUGCCCAGGGGCAAGUGUCAUUAACAUUCCAAGGUGUCAAGUACUUCCCCACCACAAAAAGCCCUGCAGCAUCUUACUGUGUUCGAGGAUUCACAGCACCAUCCUCUCGGUCCAGCACACUCGGUAUACAACAAGGAUGUGCAGAAGAUCAACGUUCUGAACCCCGACAAUCCCCCGUGGAUGGAACCUGCUGAGUUAUAGAACGAGAGACACUUUGAAGGGAACAGCUGAUCCAGUGUCCUCCCACCUCUUGUUUCUAAAUUAGAAUCCCAAACUCAGAUCCACUGGAGUCACGCUUUAAUUUCAUUUGAAACCUGUGUCAUCCUGUUGAAUUGGGGCCCACAGGAAAUAGGGCCUUGGCAAAUCCUGGAUCUCCUGGAAUUUGAUCCUGACCCAGUACCUGGCCUGGUCUGGUUUCCUUUGGGCUAAAGCAUUUUCUUGUUUGCAUGCAGAAAAAUAUGUUUUACAAUAUAAUAUGGAAAUGACUGCUGGUAUGUAAUAAGCAUUAAACUGUA